CCCGCAUAGUGCAGGCUUUGUGCUGGCCUUUGAGUACAUGCUGUCAGAUCUGGCUGAGGUGCUGCGCCAUGCCCAGAGGCCACUGGCCCAGGACCUGAAACCAGCCAACUUGCUAAUCAGCGCCUCACGCCAGCUCAAGAUAGCAGACUUUGGCCUGGCCUGGGGCCUUUUCCCCAGAUGGCUGCCGCCUCUACAUGCACC
rnacentral:lncRNA from 1 species